rnacentral:rRNA from 1 species
AGAGCGAACGCUGGCGGCAGGCUUAACACAUGCAAGUCGAACGGUCCUUUCGGGGACAGUGGCGGACGGGUGAGUAACGCGUGGGAACGUGCCCUAAGGUUCGGAACAACUGAGGGAAACUUCAGCUAAUACCGAAUGUGCCCGAGAGGGGAAAGAUUUAUCGCCUUAGGAGCGGCCCGCGUCUGAUUAGCUAGUUGGUGGGGUAAAGGCUUACCAAGGCUACGAUCAGUAGCUGGUCUGAGAGGAUGGCCAGCCACACUGGGACUGAGACACGGCCCAGACUCCUACGGGAGGCAGCAGUGGGGAAUCUUGCGCAAUGGGCGAAAGCCUGACGCAGCCAUGCCGCGUGGAUGAUGAAGGUCUUAGGAUUGUAAAAUCCUUUCAGCGGGGACGAUAAUGACGGUACCCGCAGAAGAAGCCCCGGCUAACUUCGCGCCAGCAGCCGC